rnacentral:rRNA from 1 species
CCUACGGGAGGCUGCAGUGGGGAAUAUUGGACAAUGGUGGGAACCCUGAUCCAGCCAUGCCGCGUGUGUGAAGAAGGCCCUCGGGUUGUAAAGCACUUUCAGUGAGGAAGAACGCCUGGUGGUUAAUACCCAUCAGGAAAGACAUCACUCACAGAAGAAGCACCGGCUAACUCCGUGCCAGCAGCCGCGGUAAUACGGAGGGUGCGAGCGUUAAUCGGAAUUACUGGGCGUAAAGCGCGCGUAGGUGGCUUGAUAAGCCGGUUGUGAAAGCCCCGGGCUCAACCUGGGAACGGCAUCCGGAACUGUCAAGCUAGAGUGCAGGAGAGGAAGGUAGAAUUCCCGGUGUAGCGGUGAAAUGCGUAGAGAUCGGGAGGAAUACCAGUGGCGAAGGCGGCCUUCUGGACUGACACUGACACUGAGGUGCGAAAGCGUGGGUAGCAAACAGGAUUAGAUACCCUUGUAGUC